CAUUUAAUUAGCUAGUUUGCUUGGGAACAAGAUUUUAGCAAUGUAAUUAAGGAGACACUUGAGAAUGAGAUUGAAACAGAGAGAAAGUUAAGAUUUAUAACUGAGAGAAAGAGAUCGAGAUAAGAUUGAGGAGUUUGGUUGGUGCUAUACAGAAACGUACAGAGAGAGAGAGAGAGAGAAUAGGUUGAGAGUUGAGACUCCUAGAAAACAGACAGAGAGAGAGAAUAGGUUGAGAGUUGAGACUCCCAGAAAACAGAGAGAGAGAUUGGUAUUCCGUCCAAGAGUACGUAGGUUGGCAAUUUUGACCGUUUAACCGUUAAAUCGAUCGUACCUUUAUCGAGUUUGACGGUUAUUAACCGCGUUGACUGGGUAUUUUGUGGUUAUGAUUAUAACCGCUAACCGCUACGAAUGGGUAAGGUUAGGUUAUGGGUUUCGAAGUAACCACACGAUCCCCGUAACCAUACCCAUAACCAUCCCAACCCGUAACUUACCCUCUAUUUAUCCGUAUAUUAUUAAAGCAAUAAAGCACAAUGCCAUUUGACUAUCUCAACCCACUUACAUUUUAACCCUAUGUCCCAACGCAAUACUUUUGCUUUUAAUUUCAAAAAACCUUAUCUCUUAAUUUUGUC
rnacentral:lncRNA from 1 species